rnacentral:rRNA from 1 species
UACGGGGGGAGCAAGCGUUGUUCGGAUUUACUGGGCGUAAAGGGCGCGUAGGCGGUCAGCACAAGUCAGUUGUGAAAUCUCCGGGCUUAACUCGGAAAGGUCAACUGAUACUGUGCGACUAGAGUGCAGAAGGGGCAACUGGAAUUCUCGGUGUAGCGGUGAAAUGCGUAGAUAUCGAGAGGAACACCUGCGGCGAAAGCGGCUCUCUGGGACGGUACUGACGCUGAGACGCGAAAGCGUGGGGAGCGAACAGG